GACGAAGGAUGCAAGCGUUAUCCGGAUUCAUUGGGUUUAAAGGGAGCGUAGGUGGUCUGCUAAGUCAGUGGUGAAAUCUCUCGGCUCAACCGAGAAAUUGCCAUUGAAACUGGCGGACUUGAGUACAGUUGCCGUUGGCGGAAUAUGACAUGUAGUGGUGAAAUACAUAGAGAUGUCAUAGAACACCGAUUGCGAAGGCAGCUAACGAAGCUGUUACUGACACUGAGGCUCGAAAGUGCGGGGAUCAAACAGG
rnacentral:rRNA from 1 species